rnacentral:piRNA from 1 species
CCUCGACUCACCGCAGGCUUCGAGCAGC